UUUUCGUCGGAUGAGGAGGGCCCAGGGGUGGGGGCCGGGCCGGGUCCGGGGCCUGGGGACGCCCAGGCGGCCGCAGAGGAGCGCCGCGUCAAGGUCUCCAGCCUGCCCUACAGCGUGGACCCGCUGGUGUCCGACAAGAAACCGCCCAGGGGAGGCAUCCCCAGUGCCGGCCGAAAGCGCCUGGGCCGGGGCCACCCUGCGGCCACUGCUGCUGCUGGGGCACCGCGCUGGGGAAGCGCACAGCCGGGGGCAGCCGAUGAAGCCCUUGGAGACCGCCUGGGUCAAGUCGGAAAACUCCCUGAGACGGAGCGGCGUGGAUGCAGGAACCCGGUCGAUAUUCGCCCCGCCAAGACAUAUGAGCCCUACCACCUGCACGCUGAGAAAACUCAAGACCAAUCCGAAGCCGCGCACAGCUUUACCAACUCCCAGCUCCUCGCUCUGGAGCGCAAGUUCCGCCAGAAACAGUACCUCUCCAUUGCAGAGGGUGCGGAGUUCUCCAGCUCUCCGAACCUCACAGAGACUCAAGUCAAAAUCUGGCUCCGGAACCGAAAACUGCCGGAGUCAGAAUUGGAAAAGCUGAAAAUGACUGCAAAACCCAUGCUAUCCUCCAGCUUCAGUCUCCCUUUCCCCAUCAGCUCGCCCCGGCAGGCAGCGUCCAUAUACGGGGCAUCCUACCCGUUCCAUAGACCUGUGCUUCGCAUCCCGCCCGUGGGACUCUAUGCCACGCCAGUGGGAUAUGGCAUGUACCACCUGUCCUAAGGAAGACCAGAUCAAUAGAUUCCGUGAUGGAUGUUUGUUUCAAAGGGUUUCCUCUCCCUCUCCAAGAAGGCAGGACCAGCCAGUACUCCUGCUCCGCACACCCUGCGUGCACCACCCUAAGCGGCUUGGCCGACAGGGCCACACGACAUAGUUGAAAUUUGUUCUUUAGGCGGAGGCACCAAGCCUUGUUUUCUUGGUGUAAUCUUCCAGAUGCCCCCUUCUCCUUUCACAAAGAAAGGCUCUGAUGGUUUUUAUGUAUAAAUGUAUAUAAUAAAAUAUAAUACAUUUUUAUACAG